GUGGACACGAUGUGUUAGCAAUGCAAAGAUAAGUUUGGUUGGGAGCUUGUGGCUCAUUUGUACUCCCUUCGUCCCAAUAAUGAAGACAUACUUCAUUUUGGCACGAGAAUUUAGAAGAAUUAAAGUAGAGAGUUGAGUAAAAAUCAUCACAUUGAACUUGGCGCAUUUCCUCUGGCUUUGAUUACGCCCCUCGUCUUCCUUUGGCCCCUCGUCUUCACAGCCCUUCAAUUUCGCUGGCUCUGCCACAGAGUACGGCACGAGCGGCGACAUUGAUUGACGAAAUCGACAUCUCUAUCGUCUCUCUUUGCCGGAUUUGAUUUCUAGGACGAUUCUAGAGAUGAGAGAGAAUAUCAUCGCCGCCACCAAAGAAAAUUGAAGUCAGGGACCGCGAUUUGGCGUAUGGUUUUGGGGCCUAGGGCUCUGGUUGGCGUCAACAAGAGCGACGACCUUAUCGCUAACUAAUCGGAGCAAUAGGAAAGGUGAGAAAUGUCGAGGGUGGGUCCGGCGAUCUGGAAGGUGAGGACGGCGGCGUUGUUCGCCGGAGGUCCAGCGGAAGUCACCAGCAUCGCUCGUCGCCGAAAGAGGCUGGGGCGGCAGGUGGUUGAGACGAGAGAGUUUGUGAGAGAUGAGAAAUUAAGGUUGGAGAAGGAUGCGGACAAUUGUGUGGAAUAAUAGUUAGGGUUUUUUAAUUUAUAGGACAAUUAAAGAAUAAUUAGGGGUUUUAAUUAAUGCCUAAUUAUUUCUAUGUUUAGAAGUGUUUCUUUAUUAUUGGGACAAUCCAAUGAGGAAAGUGUGUCUUCAUUAUUGGGACGGAAGGAGUAUUGUUGUAUGCCAUUGUGCUUGUUGUUAUUCUUUACAAGUACACACGUCAUAAAUUAUAUUUAUUUUGUAAAAUUUACUUGUAGGGGUGCGUUUUUUUU